AUCAUUGCUUUGGUAUAUUAUUGAUAACUCACUUAUUGUGAUACUUUCUCAAGCUUGUUGUUAUCUUCGAAUGUCUAGUGUAGAUGAACGAAGUAAACACUUUUUACGAAGAGAACUUGGAACAGAAUUGAGUAACUUUCUCUACGCUGUAAAUCGAUUCAAAUCGAGGCGUGGUGUUCCUCCUUCUCCUAUAAACACAGACAAAACUGGGCAGCUCCGAAGAUCUCCAAGCAAGAUGAUUUCGUUGAUAGAUGAAAACGAGAGUUCUUUGUUCAAAUUAGUAGACAUUUUUUCUAAACAGCUUUUGCGGUGAUUUUAAAAUGUAGUUGUACAUAAAAUUCUAAGAAAACUUUAAAA
rnacentral:lncRNA from 1 species